AUUAACGCUGGCGGCGUGCCUAACCCAUGCAAGUCGAGCGGCAGCGAGUUUUACACUGAAUUCUGGAAGCUUCUAGUUGAAAGAGAAGAUUUAUUCAAGAAUUUUGUGCAAAAUGUCGGCGAGCGGCGGACGGCUGAGUAACGCGUGGGAACGUACCCCAAAGUGAGGGAUAACGCAUCGAAAGGUGUGCUAAUACCGCAUAUGGUCUUCGGAUUAAAGCCUUCGGGCGCUUUGGGAACGGCCUGCGUAAGAUUAGAUAGUUGGUGGGGUAAUGGCCUACCAAGUUGACGAUCUUUAACUGGUUUGAGAGGAUGAUCAGUCAGACUGGAACUGAGACACGGUCCAGACUCCUACGGGAGGCAGCAGUGAGGAAUCUUCCACAAUGGGCGAAAGCCUGAUGGAGCAACGCCGCGUGCAGGAUGAAGGCCUUCGGGUUGUAAACUGCUUUUAUAAGUGAGGAUUAUGACAGUAACUUAUGAAUAAGGAUCGGCUAACUACGUG
rnacentral:rRNA from 1 species